rnacentral:rRNA from 1 species
AGCAGCCGCGGUAAUUCCAGCUCCAAUAGCGUAUAUUAAAGUUGUUGCAGUUAAAAAGCUCGUAGUUGAACUUCGGAAACGGUAGGUUGGUCGUGCCUCUGGUACGUACUGGCCUUACCGGUUCCUCCUUUCUGACGAACCAUGAUGCCAUUAAUUUGGUGUUGUGGGAAAUCAGGACUGUUACUUUGAAAAAUUAGAGUGUUUAAAGCAGGCUAAAGCUUGAAUAGAUUAGCAUGGAAUAAUGAAAUAGGACGUUUGAUCUUAUUUUGUUGGUUUCUAAGAUCGACGUAAUGAUUAAUAGGGAUAGUUGGGGGCAUUAGUAUUCAAUUGUCAGAGGUGAAAUUCUUGGAUUUAUUGAAGACUAACUACUGCGAAAGCAUUUGCCAAGGAUGUUUUCAUUAAUCAAGAACGAAAGUUAGGGGAUCGAAGACGAUCAGAUACCGUCGUAGUCUUAACCAUAAACUA